rnacentral:lncRNA from 1 species
CUUAUUGGGCUCCUGUCUGCAGGAUUUACGCGCACGUUGGAACCGAAGAGAGCUCUGUUGUUGCAAUGUUCAGCCCACAAGAGCUUACUGGUGAAGGAAUGGGACAAGACCCAUCUUUAUGCAAAGCCAGCGUUACAGUAAUGUUCCAGCAUCUCAUAAUCUAUCCUGGGGAAUUCAGCUGCCUCCCAGGGUGAAUACAGGUAUUCCUGAUGACAGUCUGCCUCUAUCUUACAGUACUACUAACCAAUAACCUGCUUGGCUCAAAGGGCCAGCACCUUCUCUCUAAAGCCCAAGAGGAGUUUGAGGUAAAUGGCUUUGCAAUAGUUACCAUCAAUGGCUGCUAUAUAAAAUUUUCUGUGAUUUUUGUGUGUGAUAGCACUGUGGUCUGGGUGAAUGUACACAGACAUAACUGGCUUAACCCAAAGUCUUUGAUCUCCUGAACCACCAGUGAUGAAUUGCUGCUCACCAGUGAUGAGUUGAAUACCGCCCCAGUCUGAUCAAUGUGUGACUGAAAGGUAUUUUCUGAGCUGUGAGCCUGCCUUCCAGUGACAUGUUCUAAAAAUUGCAAGUUAUUUGAGGAGGCUUUACAGCCAAUAGGAAGUUCUUGGGCUAAGUAGUGUUUCCUAUAAAAUGUGCCCUGAAACUUCUUUCUGCCAAGCAAUAGAUACAAUUGAGAGAUUGUAAAAUGUGACAUAGAAUGAAAGUCUCUCAAGACUACAUUUUUCUUUCUUGAUUUUGCAGGAAAACUAGGUGUCUGUGUUCACUCCAGGCUGAAGUUACAGGU